AAGUCCGCGACCGCAAGGAGCGGCCACAGGCGAAACCGGUACUUGGGGCUAAGUCGUAACAAGCUAGCAGUACCGGAAGGUGUGGCUGGAACACCUCCUUU
rnacentral:rRNA from 1 species